AGUCAAAGUGUUGAGUUCAGUUCUGGGCUUUCUCCUGGUUCUGGUAAUAAAUCUUUGGCACAUGAAAACGGCUGAGAGUGAAGAACUCAUGAAGUGUUUGUGAUGUGACAUCUUCAUCAACUUCAGCCGAACACAA